rnacentral:rRNA from 1 species
GAUGAACGCUGGCGGCGUGCCUAAUACAUGCAAGUCGAGCGAACAAAAGAGGAGCUUGCUCCUCUGACGUUAGCGGCGGACGGGUGAGUAACACGUGGGUAACCUACCUAUAAGCCUGGGAUAACUUCGGGAAACCAGAGCUAAUACCGCAUAAUAUAUUGUACCGCAUGGUUCAUUAUUGAAAGACGGUUUUGCUGUAACUUAUAAAUGGAUCCGCUCCGAAUUAGCUAUAUGGUAAGGUAACGGCCUACCAAGGCAACGAUGAGUAGCCGACCGGAGAGGGGGACCGGCCACACUGGAACUGAGACCCGGUCCAGACUCCUACGGGAGGAAGAAGUAGGGAAUCUUCCGCAUUGGGCGAAAGCCUGACGGAGCAACGCGGCGUGAGUGAUGAAGGUUUCCGGAUGUUAAACCUCUUUGAUUAGGGAGGAAGGAAGGUGUAAGUAACUAUUCACGCCUUGACGGUACCUAAUCAGAAAGCCACGGCUAACUACGUG